GACGAACGCUGGCGGCGUGCUUAGCACAUGCAAGUCGAACGGAAAGGCCCUGCUUUUGUGGGGUGCUCGAGUGGCGAACGGGUGAGUAACACGUGAGUAACCUGCCCUUGACUUUGGGAUAACUUCAGGAAACUGGGGCUAAUACCGGAUAGGAGCUCCUGCUGCAUGGUGGGGGUUGGAAAGUUUCGGCGGUUGGGGAUGGACUCGCGGCUUAUCAGCUUGUUGGUGGGGUAGUGGCUUACCAAGGCUUUGACGGGUAGCCGGCCUGAGAGGGUGACCGGCCACAUUGGGACUGAGAUACGGCCCAGACUCCUACGGGGGGCAGCAGGGGGGAAUAUUGCACAAUGGGCGGAAGCCUGAUGCAGCAACGCCGCGUGCGGGAUGACGGCCUUCGGGUUGUAACCGCUUUCGCCUGUGACGAAGCGUGAGUGACGGUAAUGGGUAAAGAAGCACCGGCUAACUACGUG
rnacentral:rRNA from 1 species